rnacentral:rRNA from 1 species
AACGCGAAGAACCUUACCUGGGCUUGAACCGCACAGGACCAGCUUGAGAAAUCAGGCCUUCCCGCAAGGGACCUGUGUAGAGGUGCUGCAUGGCUGUCGUCAGCUCGUGCCGUGAGGUGUUGGGUUAAGUCCCGCAACGAGCGCAACCCUUGUCCAUAGUUGCUAACGCGUAGUGGCGAGAACUCUAUGGAGACUGCCGGUGAUAAACCGGAGGAAGGUGGGGAUGACGUCAAGUCCUCAUGGCCUUUAUGUCCAGGGCUACACACGUGCUACAAUGGACGGUACAAAGAGUCGCGAUCCCGCGAGGGGGAGCUAAUCUCAAAAAGCCGUUCUCAGUUCGGAUUGUUCUCUGCAACUCGAGAGCAUGAAGCUGGAAUCGCUAGUAAUCGCGGAUCAGCACGCCGCGGUGAAUACGUUCCCGGGCCUUGUACACACCGCUCGUC